rnacentral:rRNA from 1 species
GACGUAGGGCGCGAGCGUUGUUCGGAAUUACUGGGCGUAAAGGGCUCGUAGGUGGCCAACUAAGUCAGACGUGAAAUCCCUCGGCUUAACCGGGGAACUGCGUCUGAUACUGGAUGGCUUGAGUUUGGGAGAGGGAUGCGGAAUUCCAGGUGUAGCGGUGAAAUGCGUAGAUAUCUGGAGGAACACCGGUGGCGAAGGCGGCAUCCUGGACCAACACUGACACUGAGGAGCGAAAGCCAGGGGAGCAAACGGG